rnacentral:misc_RNA from 1 species
UCCGGUUUGUCACCGGCAGUCUCCCUUUCGGGGUUCUACUUCCAGCAUGUCAAACCUAGGUGAGGUUCUUCGCGUUGCAUCGAAUUAAACCACACGCUCCGCUGCUUGUGCGGGCCCCCGUCAAUUCCUUUGAGUUUUAGCCUUGCGGCCGUACUCCCCAGGCAGGGCACUUAAUGCGUUAGCUGCGGCACCGGAGGGGUCGAUACCCCCGACGCCUAGUGCCCACCGUUUACGGCGUGGACUAC